GGGGGUGGAGGUUCGUGCUGUCUCUGUGUUAGGAGAUCUGGCUUUUUCUGGACCUGUUGCUGGACCAUAUUGUAGUCCUUUGUACCAGAGAUUAUGAUUAGAUUGGUGGUGUGAUUGUCAUACAGGCUGAGAUUUGAACCUUGUUCAUCAAGAGAGGCGAAGAUACAAUGCUGUUACCCUGUCAGCAUUUACACAUUGCUCAUGGUAUAGCUGGAGAAGCAUUUACUCAUUUCUCAUGUUAAAGUUGGGGAAGGCAGAAAUUCCCUUUCUAAUGCAAACACAGGUUUUUUGAUAAAGAAACGCUUAUUUGGGUAUUCAUUUUGACAUAAGUUCUUGAUCACCUUAGAAACUAAAAUAAUUUCCCAUUUUCAUAUUACCUCUCUUACCAAGUAGUCAUGUUUUUACUUGUAUUUUUGUUUAGUAGAAAAUAAUCAAGCAAUUAACUGGCCAUCUUUGAGGUUUUUGUUAGUUUGGAGUCCAUCUCGGCCCCCAUCACACUGGCACUGUAGUUUUUUACAUCCAAACAACAUUUCGUCAACCAUUCAGAUGCAGAGGAUUGGAAAGGAUACUUAGUAGGUUAGCUGGAUGGGAACUGAGUUUGACGUUAAUAUUUCUCGGUCUUGAGGACAAAAAUUCUUUCAAAGUAGAAGACUAAGUAAGCCUGCGAUUUCGUACGGAAUAACCUCAUCAAAUUGGUCUCUUUGUACUGUAACACAAGUGGAAGAGGCAAAAAUUGUCCUUAGAAUGCUGCCUAUCUUCAUCAGCACUGUCUUUGCAUGCAUUCCCAUGCAUCUUCUCGCGACCUUUAGUCUACUACAGGCUAACACAAUGAGAACUACUAGAUUGGGAACAUUUACUAUGUCUCCAGUUUCUCUAAUUGCAAUCCCUUAUGCUCUGCAAAUGGUAUUUAUUGUUGUUUAUGAUUGAUUGUUCGUGCCACUCGCGAAAAGGAUCACUGGAUAUCAAACUGGAAUCACUCAACUACAACGUGUAGGUGUUGGCCUAAUGGAAUUACCAUUAACAAUGUGUAUAGCUGCCAUUAUAGAGAGAAAGGAAAAGAAUUGCAGAGGAAUAUGAUCUAAUAGACUCCAUUAAUACUCAUCUGCCCAUGUCAAUAACUUGGCUUGGGCCACAAUAUUUUGGAAUGGUAGUCAUUGGUCUGUUCACAUAUAUAGUAUUGCUGGAGUUCUUCAACAGUGAGACUUCUAGAGGAAUGAAGUCAAUGGGGUCUGCUAUGUUCUCCUGUGUGAUUGGAUUUUCUUCCUUGCUGAGUUCUGUUGUAGUGAAUGUAGUAAAGAAUGCUAGCAGAGAUGGAGAUGGUGGAAGAAAUGGAUGGAUGGAAGGAAACAACUUGAACAAGAGUUUCCUGGAUCGUUUCUACUGGCUGGUUUCUAUCUUUAGCUUGGUGGGGUCUUCGAACUAUAUGUAUUGGGCUCACAAGUAUGUGUAUAAGCGAAAUGGGCUUGCUAUAUUUCAAAAUGGCUGAAGCCCUUGUCUAGAAAAGAGAAUGAACAUCCUUCCUAAGGAAUCAAUUGAUAACAUAUAUUUGGUUAUCCUAUAUUUAUUUAUUAUUACCAAUCUUAUAUGCUGCUGUGGUGGAGUUAUUGGUUUUUUACUUUGCAGGGGAAGGGAUUAGUUUGGGAAUCUGAUCUGUAGUGGAAAGGGGCAUCACCUGUUGUAUGGCAUGUCACUUUAUUCUUAUACUGCCUGUUAUUUAUCCAGAAACAAUAUAAUAAAAUAAAAUCUUAUUUCUAGAUUCAUUAA